rnacentral:lncRNA from 1 species
GGCAUGCAGGCGUGGGAAGCUAUCGGCUUUAAUGAACUUUACUCCCCCCACCACCUCUUCCAUGGGUGCCAACAUAUGAAUAACCAUUCCAAAAACAAGGUCAGCUACGCCAAUUUGGUCGCCGCCAAAGAACUUUUUAUCUCCAAGACCAUGUUCCUCAAUCGUCCUCAGAAUUUCGUAGUUGUCCUUGAUUGCCUUCUGCUGUUCUUCGCCAUGUUUAGCAAAGAAUUCCCACAUUGGUUGAGUCUGCAAACUUAUAUUAAUAAGGUUAGGAUCAAACAUUACUGGUCUGCAAGUGGUUUGAGACUAGAUCCCCAGCUUGGAGGGAGGGGUGAAAUUGGUUUUAAAAUGGAUUAAUUUGAGUUAAAUUUUUUUUUUAUCAUUUUGGGUUCGAAUUUUUUACGGUCUAACUCGUUUUUAAGUUUGGAUUGGGCAAGUUUUGAUCAGUCAAUCCUGGAUUUGGCUUCACUCUAUUACUUUUAAUCUAUUAAUAUCCAAUGCAUGUCUAAUGAUCAUUCACUAAUUAAUAUUUACAUUUAAUAGAUGGUCCUACACAUUUGAAUGGUGAUGAUAAUUAUAUUGGAUAUUAUUAAUGGAAGAAAAAGUAAUGGAGUAGAUCUUGACCCGUUAAUUCUAACCCAAACUUAAAAAAUUAACCCAAUUAUAUUGAAUCCGAACAAAAAAUGACUUAUAUCCAAAACGAUUUAGAAUGAUCUAAAUCCAAAAUGAUCUGAUCAAGUACCUUGAAUUGACUUGAACUCAAGAUGACUUAAGCAGGAAAAAAAAAACUAACUAGUAAAUUGGAAAUAUUCGAACCGAAAAUAACCCAAACAUCACAAACUCAAAACUGAUUUAAACUUGAAAUGACUCGGGCCCAAAACAACCCAAAGUUUUAAAAACUAAAUUGGAAUUAUUAAUCGAGCGAGUCUUAGUUCAAUCGACACAAUUACUAUUGCAAUAACUAGAAAGGCGUGGGUUUGAGUUUAAAGAUAAGGAGAGAUUAUAAAUAAAAAUACAUGAGUUUGAAAUAUUGACUUAUGAUUAUCAAAUCAGACAAAUUAAUUGAAUUGAACUUCCAGACUCGAAUCAAAAUUCACAAGAGAACAAAUUUGGGAAGAAAAAGUAGAUUAAAAAAAUGAGGAAGCAUAUGACAAAUGUUGAACAAAAUCAAGAUAACACGUACGUUUUCCUGAAUGAAUUUGGCCCAAAAUCUAGCUACGGAUCUCUCGUAAGCAUCUUUUGGCAACAAAGGAUUAUGUGGCCACACUUCAUCUAUAUAUUCCAAAAUAACCAAUGACUCUACAAUUGGCUUUCCUCCAUGAACGAGCACUGGGAUCUUUUUAUGAACUGGGUUGUACUGCAACAACAGAUCACUCUUAUUAUAAGGCAGAUCUUCUUCAAUGUAUUCAUAUUCCACACCUUUUAGCUUUAAUGCCCAAAUGACCCUUCUACUAAAAGGACUUGCCCAAAACCCAAAGAGCUUCACUUCAUCCAUGGUCUAGUGUUUUGGUCUCUGUUUUGUGAAGUAAACUAGGGGCCAUUAUAUAAUUGUUUUGGGUGGGGGGAUUUGGACUGUUCUUGGUCAGCCUAAAUACAAUCGUCAUGGAUGAUGUAUCGCAAUUACUAAUACUAUGGCUUGCUGCAAAUUAUAUUUUGCCAGAUUCUCCAGUUAAAUUAUGCAUAUAUGCCGGUUUUUUUAAUUAGUUAAAUAGGUCGUUUUUUUCAAGAUUUAAGGAAAUAGGUUAAUUUUGAUGAGAUUGUAUGAAAGUACUUGAUGAGAUUGUAUGAAAAUGCGUCCAGUUGUACGUGCUUUUGCUGACACGUCAGAAAAACGUGCCAGUUAAAAGGUUUUCUAAAAAUUCCAAAGAAAGCUCGUCCAGCUUCCUGGCAACUGUGCAGCUGGACACGUAUUUCAUACUCUCUCUCCAAAAUCGGUCGAGUUUCUUAAAUCUUCAAAAAUUUUGGUACCGAAGGUUUAUUUUGGUUCAAUUACGUACUUGAACUUGACGUCUUGGUUCAAAUUAGCUUUUUAGUCUAAAUUAGUACUUGAGUUAGAUGACGUAUUUGAACCAAUUUGAACUACGAAGUCAAGUUCGGUGCUAAUUUGAACCAAAAUGGAAAGUUUAAAUACCUAAUUGAGCAAAAAAAAAUUAAGUACUAAAUUGAACCUUGAGGUUAAACAUUAAUCAAUUUUAAGUUUUUUAAUCAUUCGAAUAAAUGGAAAAAUUGUAAUUUUAGCCCUUCGUGAAAAUUAAUCAUAUAAUUUAAGCUCUUUUAGAAUAGAACUUUUAACUUCAGUCUCAAAAUUUUAAAAUUUUAUCUUAGCCCCCGCAAAGUUUUUGGCUUCGUCACUAUAGGGGACUGUCACCCAAAUAUGAGUUUUCAUAUAAAUGAUGAUAUUAUAAAUUAAUAUAUAGUAAAAAUUCUAUUUUAAUCCUUUAAAAUGAAAACAAUUCUAUUUAAUCCCUUUAAAUAUGAUAAAUUACAUUUUAACCUUUCAAAAUUUUAUAAUUUAAUUUAGAUCCAAUCCAAGGGAAGGAGGUUGUAUUGGCUGAGCUCAUCCACCACACCAAACAUUAAUUAUUGGCAAAAAGAAAUUGUUACAAACUUACAAUGCAUGGAGAAAACAUAGAAAUGUACGAAAAGAAAAUCCCAAUCCUUUUGCAUUAUUUCUCAAUAUCAAGAGUACUUAAUUUUUUCUAGUGAUUAUGUUGAGAUUUCCUAUAAAGUUCUCUUCUUUUUUUCAAGAAAUCCACAACUCUAUUGUAAUCGGGGACAUUGUCUUUGAUCACAGGGCGUUCGCUGAAAUGCCUGACCCAGGCAUGCAGGCGUGGGAAGCUAUCGGCUUUAAUGAACUUUACUCGCCCCACCACCUCUUCCAUGGGUGCCAACAUAUGAAUAACCAUUCCAAAAACAAGGUCAGCGACGCCAAUUUGGUCGCCACCGAAGAACUUUUUUGUCUCUAAGACCAUGUUCCUCUCGUCCUCAGAAUUUCAUAGUUGUUCUCGAUUGCCUUCUGCUGUUCUUCACCGAAUUUACGAAAGAAUUCCCACAUUGGUUGAGUCUGCAACCUUAUAUUAAUAAGGUUAGGAUCAAAUAUUACUGGUCUGCUAGUGGUUUGAGACUAGAUCCCUAGAUUCGAGGGGGUGAAAUUGGCUUUAAAAUGGAUUAAUUCGAGUUUUAAAUUUUUUUUAUCAUUUUGGAUUACUUGUUUUGGCCAUUUUGGGUUCGAUUUUAUACACCAAACAAAACAUUAAUUAUUGGCAAAAAAAAAUUUUUUUAUUGUUACAAACAUACAAUGCAUAAAAAAAAAGUAAAAAUGCUACAAGAAAAAGAACAAUCAAUCCUUUUGCAUUAUUUCCCAAUUUUUAGUUCUUAAACGAUCAAAAGUACCUUCUUUCUUUCUUUUUUCUAGCUAUUCUGUUGAGAAUUCCUACAAAAUUCUCUUCUUAUCUUCAAGAAAUCAACAACUUUAGUGUAAUCAGGGACAUUGUCUUUGAUCACAGGGUGUUCGCUGAAAUGCUUGGCCCAAGCAUGCAGGCGUGGGAAGCUAUCGGCUUUAAUAAACUUAUAUCCCACCACCUCUUCCAUAGGCGCCAACAUAUGAAUAAUCAUUCCAAAAACAAGAUCAGCUAUGCCAAUUUGGUCGCCACCAAAGAACUUUUUGUCUCCAAGACCAUGUUCCUCAAUCGUCCUCAGAAUUUCAUAGUUGUUCUCGAUUGCCUUCUGCUGUUCUUCGCCGAAUUUACGAAAAAAUUCCCACAUUGGUUGAGUCUGCAAACUUAAGGUUAGGAUCAAAUAUUACUGGUCUACAAGUGGUUUCAGACUAGAUCCCCAGAUUGGAGGGGUGAAAUUGGUUUUGAAAUG